UAUAGCUCAGUUGGUAGAGCGCUUCCAUGGCAUGGAAGAGGUCAGGGGUUCAAUUCCCCUUA
rnacentral:tRNA from 1 species